rnacentral:rRNA from 1 species
CAGUCGCCGCGGGAAUACGGAGGGGGCUAGCGUUGUUCGGAAUUACUGGGCGUAAAGCGCACGUAGGCGGCUUUGUAAGUUAGAGGUGAAAGCCCGGGGCUCAACCCCGGAAUUGCCUUUAAGACUGCAGGGCUAGCAGGUGAGAGAGGUGAGUGGAAUUCCGAGUGUAGAGGUGAAAUUCGUAGAUAUUCGGAAGAACACCAGUGGCGAAGGCGGCUCACUGGCUCAUACUGGACGCUGAGGUGCGAAAGCGUGGGGAGCAAACAGGAUUAGAUACCCCUGUAGUCCCUGUCUCUUAUAA